UCCCAUGUGGUCUAGUGGUAAGGAUUCCUGAUUUUUCACCCAGGCGGGCCGGGUUUGACUUCCGCUAUGGGAA
rnacentral:tRNA from 1 species